GCUCCAGGGAGAACGAAAGCUCCCGAAACCCUUACGGCAACUUUCCGAUCCUCGUAACUUCUCCGUCCGAGCUCCAAUCGCUGCAUCGUUUACGGCCACACGUUCACUGCGUCGAGCUCUACGUUUCUACCAGAACAAUUUUAUAGGAUCUAAUUAGCUUGAGGAAAGCGUUCACUCUUGCUUAUGUGAAGCUUGGGUAAGAUUGUGAAUAAAUAAUUGGAGCUUGAAAUUGUGAAUACUAGAACUUAGAGGAAGCUGAUUAGUUGAAUUUUGAAGGGCUGCCUUGAUUUUAAAUAAUUUGCUUUGGUCGUUACGUGGAAAUCGGCCAAGAUGCAGGUCGAGAGGCAUCUCGAUAG